GCUAUUGGAGUUCGAUUAAGCCAUGCGAGUCGAGAGUCUUAGGGACUCGGCGUACCGCUCAGUAACACGUGGGUAACCUGCCCUAUGCUGGGGAAUAACCUCGGGAAACUGAGAAUAAUGCCCCAUAGUCCACAAUGCCUGGAACGGUUUGUGGAUCAAAGCUCCGGCGGCAUAGGAUGGGCCUGCGGCGUAUCAGGUUGUAGGGGGUGUAACGUACCCUCUAGCCAUCAACGCGUACGGGUGUUGGGAGACAUAGCCCGGAGAUGGAUUCUGAGACACGAAUCCAGACCCUACGGGGUGCAGCAGGCGCGAAAACUUGGCAAUGCGAGAAAUCGUGACCAGGGAACUCCAAGUGGCUGGGGUAAGACCCAGUCUUUUCUUGACUCUUCAAAGGUCUUGGAAUAAGGGGUGGGUAAGGACGGUGCCAGCCGCCGCGGUAAUACCGGCGCCUCAAGUGGUAGUCGAUUUUAUUGGGCCUAAAACGUCCGUAGCCUGUUUGGUACAUUCGUGGGUAAAUCAACCAGCUCAACUGGUUGAAUUCUGCGAGCACGGCCAGACUUGGGACCGGGAGAGGUGUGGGGUACGCUCAGGGUAGGGGUAAAAUCCUGUCAUCCUGAGCGGACCACCUGUUGCGAAGGCGCCACACUAGAACGGAUCCGACGGUCAGGGACGAAGCCUAGGGGCACGAACCGGAUUAGAUACCCGGGUAGUCCUAGGUGUAAACGCUGUGGACUUGGUGUUGGGGACUCUCCGAGAUUCCUCAGUGCCGAAGCGACGGUGAUAAGUCCACUGCCUGGGGAGUACGGUCGCAAGGCUGAAACUUAAAGGAAUUGGCGGGGGAGCACCGC
rnacentral:rRNA from 1 species